GACACCGAGUAAUCAAGAGGUUAGUUUGGAGCUGCAGCCAGCAUGUUGUGUCUACGAAUACAGCUCUGUAUUCUACUUUUGUUGUCAGGACUAAGUACCGAGAAGAACAGUGUCACCCGAAGACAAGGACAGCUGACUGGGGUACAAAGUGACUCUGUCACACUGGGCUGUACUUUCUCGACUGAAGAUGCAGGUUAUGACAUAUACUGGUACAAACAGGGCAGCAGCGGCCAGACGAAGUACCUCUUCCGAAGGGUCCUGUAUUCACCCAUCGUUGUGGUGACUUUCGCCCCUGAAGAUCUAGAAACAACAUAUUUAACCAUGAAGGCUCCAGAAAUCCUGUUUUGGACAGCAACAGCAUUUCUAUCUUUGAGUGCGGUGCUGGGUGAAUCGAUCCGGUCCAAUGAACCCGAGGUGUCCAGGUCAGAAGAAGACACCAUGACCCUCAGCUGUUCUUUUGAAACCAGCUACACUGCUGGUGUCUAUCUCUACUGGUACCGUCAGUAUCCGAACCGAGCCCCACAGUACAUCCUCCAGAGAGGAGCAAAAGGAAGCACGUUCAGUGAUACUGCAGAUUUCGCCCAGGAGAGGUUUUCUUCCCAGGCUGCUGACAGCUCCACAGUUCUGAACAUCACCUCCCUGGAGCUGUCAGACACAGGGGUGUAUCUCUGCGCCCUGCAGCGGGCACAGUGACAGAGCCACGCAGCAGAGCUGUACAAAAUCCCUCCCUUCUUUCCCAUUCACCUGCCCUGCACUGGGGAGAGACCAGAGACAGGCGUCCCCAAAGCCCCGCAGUCUCACUCAGUCACAGGUACAAAUGCAGCUCUGCUGUAGGUGACAGGCAAUUACAGACAGGGGCUGUCCCAGCCCCACAUCUUGCUAGCUGGCAGGAAAGCUUCGGGCUGAGGAAUACGGUUAAAUUAUUUCACCUAUAGAGACCUGGGCAAAUGACUAGAGGCGAGAUUUUAAAGGUAUUUAGGUGCUUAAACAU